rnacentral:tRNA from 1 species
GUGGAUAUAGUUUAACCAAAACGUUAGAUUGUGAUUCUAAAAAAGGAGGUUAGAAACCUUUUAUCCGCC